GAUCCUGCUCAGGAUGAACGCUGACAGAAUGCUUAACACAUGCAAGUCGAUGGGGAAGUGGUGCUUGCACCAUGGUAACCAUGGCGGACGGGUGAGUAACGCGUAAGGAACUUGCCUGCGGGACCGGGAUAACAGCAGGAAACUGCUGACAAGACCGGAUAAGGUCAUGAAGCUGCAUAGCUUUGUGAUGAAAGGAGACGCCUGCGGAGAGCCUUGCGUCCUA
rnacentral:rRNA from 1 species